CCUACGGGGGGCAGCAGUGAGGAAUAUUGGUCAAUGGGCGGAAGCCUGAACCAGCCAAGUCGCGUGAGGGAGUAAGGCCCUACGGGUCGUAAACCUCUUUUGCCGGGGAGCAGUGCCCAGCUCGUGAGCUGGGAUGGAGCGUACCCGGAGAAAAAGCAUCGGCUAAAUCCGUGCCAGCAGCCGCGGUGAUACGGGGGAUGCGAGCGUUAUCCGGAUUUAUUGGGUUUAAAGGGUGCGUAGGCGGGCCUUCAGGCCGGCGGUAAAAUUGCGGGGAUAAACCCCGCGGAGCCGUCGGAACCGGGAGACUUGAGUACCGGAGAGGUACGCGGAAUGCGUGGUGUAGCGGUGAAAUGCAUAGAUAUCACGCAGAACCCC
rnacentral:rRNA from 1 species